rnacentral:misc_RNA from 1 species
UUUCCGUAGGUGAACCUGCGGAAGGAUCAUUAUUGAGCCCUGCCCUCACGGGUAGACCUCCAACCCUUUGUGAAUCGUACUCGUUGCUUCGGGGGCGACCCUGCCGUCCGCGGCUGAGCGCCCCCGGGGUCAAUCAAACACUGCAUUCUCUGCGUCGGAGUAUUAGUAAAUCUAAUCAAAACUUUCAACAACGGAUCUCUUGGUUCUGGCAUCGAUGAAGAACGCAGC